rfam:TPA: Bos taurus chromosome 10, whole genome shotgun sequence.
UCCCUGAUAGCUCAGUUGGUAAAGAAUCUGCCUGCAAUGCAGGAGACCCCGGGUUGAUUCCUGGGUAGGGAA